rnacentral:snRNA from 1 species
AUACCCACCUAGCAGAGAUACCAUGAUGAUCCCGCAGAGGUGGUUUUCUGCAGGGGCGGGGCUUAUCCGUGCACUCCCGAGAUGUGCUGGCCCUGCGAUUUCCCCAAAUGUGGGAAGCCGACUUGCGUAAUUUCAGUGAAGUGGGGACUGCGUUCCAGCUGCUUUCCCUAG